UCAAGUGUGUAUCAUCGAGUUUCUGACCUAUCAGCUUUUGAUGUUAGGGUAUUGGCCUAACAUGGCUAUGACGGGUAACGGGGAAUUAGAGUUCGAUUCCGGAGAGGGAGCCUGAGAAAUAGCUACCACAUCUAAGGAAGGCAGCAGGCGCGUAAAUUACCCAAUUCUAAAGAAGAGAGGUAGUGACAAGAAAUAACAAUGCAAGGCCAAUUUUUGGUUUUGUAAUUGGAAUGGUGGGAAUUUAAAACCUUCCCAGAGUAACAAUUGGAGGGCAAGUCUGGUGCCAGCAGCCGCGGUAAUUCCAGCUCCAAUAGCGUAUAUUAAAAUUGUUGCAGUUAAAACGCUCGUAGUUGAAUUUCAAAGAAUCGAUAUUUUAUUGUAACUAUUCAGGGGGAACUAGAUU
rnacentral:rRNA from 1 species